UGAAACGUUUUGCGAUGUAUUUUCAAAUGACAUUCGGACACGCAGGUCUCGGGUUUGUGAGCUUCUGGCGCGCCUGGGAGUUUGAAGAUCUGUCUAAGCAAAAUAUCGAUACAACAGGCACUGGGAAGAACCGCCGCCUUUUAGCGGGAGGGAGGGAGAGGGAGAGGGAGAGAGAGAGAGAAAGAGAGAGGGAGAGAGAGAGAGCGGGAGAGGAAGGGAGGAGGAGAGAAAGAGAGGAGAGAAAGAGAGGGGGAGAGAGAGAGAAAGAGGGAGAGAGCGAGAGAGAGAGAGAGAGGGGAAGGGAGAGAGGAGAGAGAGAGAGAGAGAAAAGCUACAUUCCGAAUAGUGACAGUAUAAGUCACCAGCAAUGUGAAGAAAAUCGGAUACUUAAAGCGCCCAAGAAGAUUAAUGUCUGGCAAUAAUCUUUGCAAUUAGUAAUGACCAUCAUAAAUCAUUAGUUCGUGGCUUUCAUGGAUGGUGGCAGCAAUGCUGACAUUUACUGUCCAUCUCAAAGUACCCUGAGCUGAAGAAGCUGUUUGAAGUUCACCACAUGUAUAACGACCUCAAGUGAUACACAAGCCAGACUGGGUAUGACCAACCAAAUUUGCCGUCAGAUUGAACCACAAUCUGGAAAUGUACAUCAGUUCACAGUUCUUUGAGUGAUUUUCUAAAGGGGACAGUGAUGACUGAAGAAAACCAUUGAACUGUUUGGCCAUAACAGGCUUUCUUAUUUUUACAAGGCCAAGUUGCUAGCUCAACGCACAACCCAACACGGAUGGAGAGCGUGCAAGGGAGCCAGCUGGAUUCAAACUUAGGAGCCUUCGCUCCGAAGCCCGGCACUGAUGCCACUAUGCCACCAGCCAGCCAGAAUGGCAAUAUCCUAGCUGACAGAGUCAAUAAGCAGCUAAUACCUUGAUGUUCACCUGUGAUAGAGCUGUGGGCUGAGGAAGAAAGAAAAAAGCUUCAAGGAGAUACGAACAUGCAAGAUGGAGUACAAUACUGAAAAAAUAUGAGGUCACCAUUUUAAGUACAAAAGAUGUUUUGCUCCAUUGGGUGAGACCAGACGUGGAAUAUUGUAUAUGGAUCUGGUGUUGCACCAAUGAGAAGCAAAGUGGAUGAUCUCAUUCACUGAGCAAACACCAGGAAAUCUGCAGAUGCUGGAAAUUCAAACAACAACACACACACAAUGCUGGUAGAACACAGCAGGCUAGUCAGCAUCUAUAGGGAGAAGCGCUGCCAACGUUUCCGGCUGAGACCCUUCGUCAGGAUUAAUUUUUGGGACAGCACGUUCAACAUAAGAGAAGAGAUUAAAAGUUUUGUUUCUGCUCUUGAGUUUAAACAGUGAGAGAUGGUCUCUUGAAACACAAAAUUCUUAUGGGGCUUACCGGGUUCAAAGCAGGGAUGAUGUUUCCCUUGGCUAUGGUUUCUAGAACCAGGGCCAGAGUCUCACAGUAAAUGGUCAAAGCAUUCCAGUCAGGAAGACAGGAAAUGUUUUCAUCUGAAGAUAGAGAACCUUUGGAAUUCACCAUCCAAGAGGACGACAAUGGCUUGUUUGCCAAGGAUAUUCAGGGUGGAGAUCAAUGGAUUUUUAGAUAUUAUUAAAAUCAAGGGAUAAGGGAUUAGUGUAGGAAAGUGGCACAUACGUUAAAAAUCAGCAGUGGUCACAAUCAAUAGCAUUCAGUGACUGGUCAUAUCAAACUACAUGAGAGUUAGUAAAGUGGAUUUAAGUUAUAAGUUAUAUCAAUGAGUAUACAUACAACAAAUUGCCUUACAGAUACCCCUAAUAAAGAGGGUGCUGUGCUACAGGCAAUAUCUAUUGGAUGUGUCAUUCAGUGGAUAGAAAAGUGGAUAGAAAAAGUCCUGUGCUAUUAUUUCACCUGGGAGAAUGAAAUUUCUCUUCAAAAUUUAUGUCUCAAUCUAAACAUGAAGUCAAUUAAACUGAACAUUGUCAAUGUCUGUUGAAGAUAUCUUGCCGAACACAAAUUGGCUGCUGAAUUUUGCAACUCACUAAUGAUUCCAGUUUUUAAAAAAAGAACUUAAAGUUGCUUUACUAAUUAUAAGAAUUUGUCAGGGUCUUUUAGACCAUCACUCAGUUAAAAUGAAUUAAAACAAAAAUCACCCAAGACACUCAAAAUUAUUACACUUGUGUGUUUUACUAAUGGAAUCCUCAACCAUCUUCUGGCCAACAUAACCAUGGAUCCUAAGGUUUAUUGUUCUGUCCUCAAGGAAGAGCUCUAUCCCAGUACUUUUGAAAUUCCUGGGUAUUUGCAUUGAGUUUGCAAAUAUAAUAAAAAAUUAUAUUGAUUAAACCAAAGUUUCAGAAACAAAAAUCAUUAAUAUGGUAUAUUCCAUUAAAUGCAGUGUGUGGCGCAACAUGGCAGCACUUUUGAACAAUGUACAGUCAUGUCAGCUCGGUUUUGCAGGGUGUUUGGAUUGACAAAUCUGAUAUUUGCAGUCAUAACCACCUUAGUUUCUAAAAGUAAAUAAGGCAGUCACAUUGAUUAUAUUCUCAUGUAAUUGUUCCCAGUUUUGAUUCUAAAUUUUACUUAGUAG